AUGGAUAUACCAGAAUUGUCAGAUGAGGAGUUUGAACGCAGCGAUGGCAGCUGUCCGACAUCCAGGUGCUCCACCAAACUCGUAUUCAAGGUCAUAUCCUCCUUUGAUGAUUUCAAAAGGAAAAUUGUUACCGAAAUGGGGUUUGAAGGUUUACUGAAAUUUCCCUUGCUGAACAAAUUGAACUUGAAGUUUUCAGUGUGGUUACUGAGCAAAAUUGAUGAGAUUAGACGUAUGAUAAUUAUAGAUGAAAGUAGGCAGUACAAAAUGAGCCCUAAAGAUGUGAAAAACGUUUUCGGCAUCCCAUGCUCGGGAAGGAGGGUCCUAGAAAAGAUUUCUGAUGGCAAGCAGGGCAUAGUUUAUUUGAUUAGGAAGCGUUUAGGCAUGGAGAAGAAGGAUGGUCAUAGCCUCAAGGCUGCACAAAAAAUACUAGAGAAGCAGUAUAGGAACCCAAUGUCACAAGAGGAAAUAAAAGUGUUCAAGACAGCUUUUAUCAUCUUCAUAGUUGGGCAUCUACUUGCACCUACUAGCAAGCACGAUUACGGCACCUUUGUGUAUUGGCACGCACUAGAAAACACCGAUGACUUACAGUGUUGGAACUGGGGAGAAUUUGUCCUCGAUGCACUUUGUCAAGCAGCAACGAGGAUAAAGAAUGAGUUGAGCAAUGGGAGCAACAUAAGCUACAUAACAGGAUGUACAUUGUUCUUACAGGUACGGGUUAACAUUGCUAUCCACAUAACAUUUUUCUUUCGAACGGAUAGUUCAGUACGUUUAACUAAUACUUGUUUUUUCAGGUUUUCUAUCUGGACAAUGCCGACCUUGGACCGAUGA
rnacentral:rRNA from 1 species